UUUCAUACUGCUGUUGAUGAUGUGAAUUUUGGAAAUAUUCUCCCCUAUUGGGUCUUUCUCCAUGACAGAUGAUGUCCUUUGGCUUCGGUUUUUUGCCUAAGAACUGUAAGUGGUGCUUGCUAGCCCUACUAAGAAUCCUGCCAUUGUUGCAAAUUUCAGAAAAAAGGAGGACUGCCUAGUACUGCCAAUUCUGACAGUGAUCUGGCUGGAGUGCAGUGGUGCACACGCCUCACACUGUGACACAGCGGGAGAGCCCAGAGCGACAGCUGUUGGAAUGACUGCACUCUUCCUGCUCAAGUCUGACCUUUCCAAGGUAAUGGUGCUCAGAAAAAGAAGCCAAUCAGGAGAUCUGUUUUCUGUGCCCUUUUAACACUUCUAACUCAGGCACCCAAACCAGCCUGUAGCAGAAAGAGCAUCAAAGCCAUCCUCUGGACUCUACACAAGGGUCUCACUCUGUCACCCAGGUUGGAGUAAAGUGGUAUGAUCAUGGCUCACUGCAGCCUCGAACUCCUGGGCUCAAGCAAUCCUCCUGCCUCAGCCUCCUGAGUAGCUGGGACUACAGCCUUUGUCCUAUGUCUGGAGACUUCUUGGAAGCUGGAGCACACAAAUAGCUACAGCAAACUUGAGGAAUGGGCAUGAAUAGACUGGCUUCGGGGAACCUGCCAGCUUGGCCGUGUGGCCAAGGUAAUAGGCAAGCCAAGGCAGAGCUAGAGCUCAGAGCUGGAGGGGAAAUUAAAGCAGCAAAUGUAGAAACAUUAAGCCUGAAGAGGCGACGACGUUGAAUUCUAAAAUGCAGGCCAAAGCUCAGACUGCAAGCUGUCUGGCUGCUCCGGGUGUGCCCAGAAGUCAAAGUCCAGCAGGGGCAAAGGUGGAGGUGUGGUCCUGCACGUGGGGUGUUGGGGGGAUGUGGAAGAGGAGGUGCUUUAAGAUCCAGAGAUUCCAGCUGCCCUGGUGCACCCUUGGAAGAAUAAAAGGCUAGGAACUGGACAAGUCAGGCUCGAGUCCAAGCUGCCUGAGGAAUCGGGGAAAGAAUGGAGCUCAGAGUGGGAGGUCAGGGCAGUAUUUAAAAAUCCAGGAUAGCAGCAAAGCUGGCGGUGGCCCCUGACUCUGGUAAGGGCAGCCUGCAGCACCAUGCCAAGGGGGGCCUGACUGAUCAUGCCCUGCAUUUGCAAACAAGGAUUAGUAGGGUAUGAGUAGGAUUCUGCUGGUGCCUGGGAAGGCAGUGCCAUCUACAACUUUACAAAGUUUUAACAAAGGCCUGAAGGACACAACCUUCCCCAAAGUCCUGACGUCGCUGUUUGCUGGCAACAAAUAGAGUCAAAAGAAGAGAGGCACAGAAUGUGCCAGGGGUGUGCUGCGUACAGCCCCGAUGACCACAAGGCCUUCUUGGGUCAAGUUCUGCCAUCUCUGGUUAAGAUGGGCUCACCCUCUAGGACCCUGAUUGAGUCCUCGGACCACCAAGAGUGCCCCACCAAGAGCCUCCCUCUUCUGGUGACUCGUGCCUGCUUCCCGUGGAGAGCUCCAGAAGGGAGGAAACUGUGAGGAGGUGGAGAACGUGGCAGGGAUCCUAACUUUCUUACUGAAGGAAGUUCUUCACAAGUACCCAUCUGCCUUCAGGGAAGAAAACAUAACUCAUUUUGGUCUUUCAAAUUCAGUUCUCAAAACCAAAUCCUGUUGUCAGCAAUCUGUGUCCCAACGCCUUCUUCAGCAACAGCAUUUUCCCUGUGGAAUUAGUUUCCAAUGUUCUUUCUUAAAUAAACCACUGAAGAUUAAAAGGAAUCCAGAUACCCACCA
rnacentral:lncRNA from 1 species